AUGCAAGUCGAACGGUAGAGGGGGCAACCCUUGAGAGUUGGCGAACGGGUGAGUAAUAUAUCGGAACGUGCCCAGUCGUGGGGGAUAACGUAGCGAAAGUUACGCUAAUACCGCAUACGAUCUAAGGAUGAAAGCGGGGGAUCGCAAGACCUCGCGCGAUUGGAGCGGCCGAUAUCAGAUUAGGUAGUUGGUGAGGUAAAGGCUCACCAAGCCGACGAUCUGUAGCUGGUCUGAGAGGACGACCAGCCACACUGGGACUGAGACACGGCCCAGACUCCUACGGGAGGCAGCAGUGGGGGAAAUUUUGGACAAUGGGCGCAAGCCUGAUCCAGCAAUGCCGCGUGCAGGAUGAAGGCCUUCGGGUUGUAAACUGCUUUUGUACGGAACGAAACGGUGAGCUCUAAUACAGUUUGCUAAUGACGGUACCGUAAGAAUAAGCACCGGCUAACUACGUG
rnacentral:rRNA from 1 species